UCACUGCUUGCGCAGGCAGUCUCUUUAGAGUCCCCACCAUAAUGUGCUGGCAACUAAAGAUAGGGGUUGCGCUCGUUGCGGGACUUAACCCAACACCUCACGGCACGAGCUGACGACGGCCAUGCAGCACCUGAACCGGAGGUCCCCGAAGGGAAGACCCCAUCUCUGGGGCUGUCCUCCGUUGUCUAGCCCAGGUAAGGUUCUGCGCGUUG
rnacentral:misc_RNA from 1 species